rnacentral:rRNA from 1 species
UACGAAGGGGGCUAGCGUUGCUCGGAAUUACUGGGCGUAAAGGGCGCGUAGGCGGUCUUGCAAGUCCUGUGUGAAAUCCCUCGGCUCAACUGAGGAACUGCACAGGAAACUGCUUGGCUUGAGUUCGGGAGAGGGAAGCGGAAUUCCGGGUGUAGCGGUGAAAUGCGUAGAUAUCCGGAGGAACACCAGUGGCGAAGGCGGCUCACUGGCCCGGUAGUCGACGCUGAGGUGCGAAAGCG